rnacentral:misc_RNA from 1 species
GAAAAAUCUUAGCUAAUAACUUCUAUAUGUGUGUUUAAGUAGUGAUUAUAUGCAAAAAAUAAACAUAGACAAGAAUAAAACAUAGUAUCAAUUUUGUGAAAUGUGCUUUGUUUUGAGACCAGAAAACAAGGUAUAACUAAGGGCAUAUGCUCAUAGCUCAAAAGGUAGUGUUUGAACUCAAUUUACACAUCAAAUAAACAUAUUAAACCACGAAAUCAAUCAAGCAAAUCAGCAAGCAAAGUUCUUAGCAAACAAUCUACAUUCAAUUAAGGUGAAGUGCAGGAAUUUAAAGAGAAAAUCAAAUGCAACAAUUUACAGUGGUUCGGCAAUUGGCACACAAAAUCUACAUCCACUCCUCAAAGAUACACUUUGGGAAUUCCUCUCUACUAAGCAACUCUUUUCACAGGCAGGUGCUAAAGCCUUUUACAAAAAUUAGAUCUCCUAAGCU